rnacentral:lncRNA from 1 species
UCAGACCCCGCUGAUGGCGCGAGUCCUCCUUACCCGCCUGGCUGCACCACCUCCCCAGGGGCCAACAAAGUAGCGUGCUGGGUAAAUCCCAACUGCUACCCCCAGCCUCCAGGUUUCAGGCUCACCCUAGAGUCUCCUGGGGACUGGAGGGAAAUACCCAGGUGUCUGGUGGGGGAGGGAUUUAGGAAAUAAAAUGAUUGUAGACAAAAACUGAAUAAGCACUUCGGUUACAGAGUCCCAUCUGGGUCUGCUUCGGAGGCAGGUUUGGCUCCGUCUAAUAGGGACAAGGCGGGUGUCAGUCUGAAAUGACUUGUUUGCCAGGACAGGUAAGGGGAUAGUCAGGACCUGCGGUUUACCUCACAGGGUACAGAGUUGAGGCAUGAAAUCAUGUUUUUCACGUGUGUAAGUAACUUUCACACACAAAUAUAUGUGUGCACAAAUAUAUGUAUGCGUGUAAUGCCCAAGCACAUGAACUUGUGUUCAUGUGUGCAAAUACACAUGUUCAUCUCUGUUGGCAAUAACACAGCCAGCACGAAUUUUAUCUCUGUUGGCAAAAUCACAGCCAGCACCACUGAAGAGCUAGGGUCUUACACAUGCGCAUCAGGUGUAAGUGUCUAGAGCUGGGAAGAAGGAUGCAACUGCAAAAUGGUAAAUUGCACGUUAUACCUGCACUUGCGUGCUCAGGCGAUUCUACUUAAAUCACUGCAAGUGCUCCUACGAGGUCGUUUUGCAUAAUUGAAAAAACUUGAAGUUACAAUCAUAUGUGUAUAUUCUGCAUGUGUACAGAUGCCCCAACGCGAGGGAAGGACCACUAAACCCAAAGACGCGCGUGCCCGUGUGUUCACACAGACGUGUGCUUCGGCGCCUGCACACGGCCGGCGCGCAGGCAUGCGGACGCCUACACGAAUACAUAGGCAUGUUUUAUUGACGCAUCUGGGGCACUUUCUUUCAAAGAAAGUAAGGAAUGAAAAUCCAAUCUGAGAGUCACCAGGGUUCAUCUGGAGGUCGCCCAAGGGGCAGAAAAAAUUUGUAAUGACGCUAGAGUGUUUGUCCUUGGUGCAACUCCACUCUCGGGAGGGCUGGAUACAAUACGUUUGGAAAGCUCGAGGGGCUGCCUUAGGAUCUGGGGGCGGGGGGUGGGGUACUCAGCAACUCUUGCCGCGGGCUGCUCAAGAAACGUGGAAACACACCCUGCGACUUUCCACUCCCCCAUACAUAUAGGCACGCGAUUCCGUCGCCACCUCUCGGACCAGCAGCCCACGUCCAACGCUGGGCCGACCCCAGAUACACAGGCAGUCGGGAUUCCCGCCCGGUGCGCUUGUCUAUUCAUCCCUCUGCGUCAGGCUGGGACGCGCUCCGUCUGUAAAAGGCUCAAACGCAUCUCCCGCCGCGGGGCGGGAUCUAGGGGCCCAGGCCCCGGGGUCCAGAGGCGGGUAACUUUGCUAAUCUCCCCCAGCGGCGGGGAACGUCGCGCAACCGCUGAGCCCUGUCCGCCGAGACUAAACAAGCAGAGGAACAGGCUGUAAACACACAUCCUGACACGCAGGGAUGUUGCUCUUGGAGAAUGUGAAGACAGUUUGCUUCUUGACAAGCGAGCGAACGGGCGCCCAGAUUUUUGCAGCCUUUCCGAGUCUCCCCCGAGGGAGAGGCGGCAGAGAAAACGCCGGAUUUGGGAGCCACCAGGGAAGGAUCCGCGCAGGGGAGCCGCCCUCCUUGGCCCCAGACCCGCCUGCCUGGGGCCCCCUUUGCUCACUGUCAAUGUAUGGUCUGAAGCUCUGAGGAUGGUGCUGGGGACUGGGGUCGGGGGAAGCCUCUUGAAUAAUAACUGCAAAGAAGAAAGAGGCGAGAACGUCUCCCUAACCUUGAAGCAGAAAGGACUGUGUUCUUAAAGCUGUUGGCUGCAGUCACAGGGCCAGUUGCCCGCCUCUGUUCCCUGAGUAAAGUGUAACAUCUUCUGUCCUCCUGGCUUGCUUGCACCAUUCAGCAAAUUAUACUCCUUCCUUACCAAAGUGGGAAUGCUCAGGGAAGUGUGUGUGUGUGUGUGUGUGUGUGUGUGUCCCCUCUGCACUGAGGCUGCUGUUAGAGAUGUUACCAAUUUAAACCUUCCAGAAUCCUGGAGGUUUACAUUUUGUAAAGGGAGGGGACACUCCUGGACUGUCACAAUCCCAAUUCUGGUUAGAGUGGCAGGGACUGAACAAAGCCACCAACAUGCAAAAGUCCAUCUCCAGAGUAGCAUGCAUGCCCCCAGGAAACCCCCAGUGGGAUAUGCUUCCUGCACUUUCCCCUUCUCUCUAACCUCUGUCUCCUGUUUGUAAGGCAGAGGAAGGGUGAUUCCUUGCCACUGCACAGGAAUGCAGGGUUAGGGUUAUCUCCAAGAAAGGGUGGGGUGAGGCUGAGUCACAGGGAGAGCAGAAAAGCUCUGUAUCUUCAAUGAGGACCCACACACACACACCUUUCCCAGGCUUGUGGGCCUCAUUCAGCAAAGCAGGGAGUGUUUUAUAUUGAUGCGAGAGGCUGUCAGUCAGCAGUAAAUCAGUUCAGGCAUAGCUAUCUCUUUCUUUACGAAAUCAGCUCAUUGCCUUGGUCACACUACACAGAAAAUCUGCUUAUCACCGCUAUCGACAAUAAAAAUUAGUGGAGCCUUAGUUGUUUCCGAAGAGGAACCCCGUGUCUGUGACAUUAGAAUAGAUAAGUGGCUUGGCCUGUUGCAGGCAGAGAGAAGCCCAAUUCCUCCUCCUCUUCUCCCUGCAGCGAUCUGAACAAUUCUGAAACCGCCUCCCUGGGCGUCAGCUGAGCAGGUUGGGGAACUAACCAGGGCUCUCUCUCUAGGGCCCUGUUAAAUGCACUGAACUUAAAAUGAAACACGAAGUGUGAAUUUCAGGUUUGAACAUGAUGCAUCAGGAAACGUGGAGGUUGGCAGCCCUUUUCCUCCCUCCUGCUUUUCAGUAGCAGGUAUUAAUAUUGUAUUAAAUGUUAUGAGAAAGUAAAGGCUGCGGAGAGGAAUGUGCUCAGAUGCAAUUUUGUCAAGGUUUUUAUCUGUGAUUAUGAUUCCAGAUGUAGAAACUCCCGGAGGAGGGAAAUGAGGGGCUGCUGGCAUGUGACAUGUGUUUUAAGGUGUUUGGCAGUGUUUCUCAAAGUGGUGACAAAAUGUUCAAUUUUAUUACAGGGAAUUGGUAAAAGAAAUAUGAAUACUAGGUCAGAGAUUGUUCACCUCAGCAAAAGGAUUUACCAUUAUUGAUUAGGGUGCAGAAAGUAUGUAUCUAGGUCCUGCUUAAAUCACAUUGUCAACAAUAUAAAUCUGUCAGAUCAGAUUUUUCUGAAAGAACAAUUAUAACAAAAUACACUAUAGCUAAUUGC